CCUACGGGAGGCAGCAGUAGGGAAUCUUCCACAAUGGGCGAAAGCCUGAUGGAGCAACGCCGCGUGGGUGAAGAAGGUCUUCGGAUCGUAAAACUCUGUUGUUAGAGAAGAAAGUCGGUGAGAGUAACUGUUCACGUUUCGACGGUACCUAACCAGAAAGCCACGGCUAACUACGUGCCAGCAGCCGCGGUAAUACGUAGGUGGCAAGCGUUAUCCGGAUUUAUUGGGCGUAAAGGGGGCGCAGGCGGUCUUUUAAGUCUGAUGUGAAAGCUUUCGGCUUAACCGGGGAAGGGCAUUGGAAACUGGGGGGCUUGAGUGCAGAAGAGGGGGGUGGAACUCCAUGUGUAGCGGUGAAAUGCGUAGAUAUAUGGAAGAACACCAGUGGCGAAGGCGGCUGUCUGGUCUGUAACUGACGCUGAGGUUCGAAAGCGUGGGUAGCAAACAGGAUUAGAUACCCCUGUAGUC
rnacentral:rRNA from 1 species